rnacentral:misc_RNA from 1 species
GAUGAAGAACGCAGCGAAAUGCGAUACGUAAUGUGAAUUGCAGAAUUCAGUGAAUCAUCGAAUCUUUGAACGCAUAUUGCGCUCUCUGGUAUUCCGGAGAGCAUGCUUGUUUGAGUAUCAGUAAACACCUCAACUCCCCUUUCUAUUUUGAAAUGGGAGCUGGACUUGAGUGAUCCCAACGCUUUUCUCACCGAAAAGUGGCGGGUUACUUGAAAUGCAGGUGCAGCUGGACUUUUCUCUGAGCUAAAAGCAUAUCUAUUUAGUCUGCCUAAAAAACAGAUUAUUACCUUUGCUGCAGCUAACAUAAAGGAGAUUAGUUCUUGUGCUGACUGAUGCAGGAUUCACAGAGACAGCUUCGGCUGGCCUUUGUAAACUCGAUCUCAAAUCAAGUAAGACUACCCGCUGAACUUAAGCAUAUCAAUAAGCGGAGGA